GGCCGAGCGCCCCUCAUCCGGCGGUACUCGAUCUCCGCCCCCGCCGCCGCCACCGCCGCCGCCUCCUCGCUGCCCUUGCAGCUCUCGCUGGCCUCCAAGGUCCAGAGCGGCUUCGAGCCGCGUAAGUCGUCGUCGACCUCCGCCUCCUUCGACGCCGACGACCAGCACCGGCCAAGGGCCCCCUCGUCCGGCGGUACUCGAUCUCCGCCGCCGCCGCCGCCGCCUCCUCGCCGCCCUUGCAGCUCCCGCUGGCCUCCAAGGUCCAGAGCGGCUUCGAGCCGCGGAAGUCGUCGUCGACCUCCGCCUCCUUCGACGCCGACGACCAGCACCGGCCGAGCGCCCCUCGUGCGGCAGUACUCGAUCUCCGCCGCCGCCGCCUCCUUGCCGCCCUCGCAGCUCCCGCUGGCCUCCAAGGUCCAGCGGCUCGUGGACAAUGUCCAGCUUGCGAGGCAGGAUUUCUUGGAGCUGAGACAAGAGGCGAGCGAACUGCAGGAGUAUUGAAGCUCGAUCGAGUCACGCACUACCUCGGCGUUCUCGCCGACAAGACGCGGAAACUAGAGUAAUUAUGAUAGAAAAGAAUCACCUUUUCUGGCGAAAGAAUUACUUAGAAUUUAUACAAAGGAGAAAAGUUGGAGGGAGCGACUCUUGAAAAAUGGCAUUGUAAAAUCAUCUCCAGUGCCACCACGGACACGUCCUGAAUGUGUGGGGACUGAGGAGGAUCCUAAGUGCAUUAUAUGUCAGCAAUAUCAGUUGUAUGUGAUUGUAGGCCAUCUGCUUUUGUUUGUCUUGAGCAUUGGCAACACAUCUGUGAAUGCAAACCCAGCAAACAUUGCCUCCUUGACCGUCAUACAUUAGCAGAGUUAAGUGACUUGCUGCUCACUGUCGAUAAAUACAAUGGUGAGGAGACUCAAAGGAGUAAGGUGCUCCAGCAAAGAUCUUUCCCCAGCAAAACAAGUUCUUCAGCGAAAAGGUAUUGUCAGAUACAAGACUUGCUUAGUCAAUUAACAAAGAGACUGGAUGAGGUAUCGAAUAAAGCAUGUAGAAAACAAAUUGCAGCAAUUAAAACAACUUCAGCCUUGGUGUUCAUUCUAUAAAUUUAUGACUGGAUGAGGUGUCAAUCUUAAGCAAGGUGGAUUGUCUCAUUUUUAUACUUACUAGGUAUUAUAUGAUCUUUGUUUUAUGGAAGAGUCUAGCUGAAGUUGGUUUUAUUGCUUUGGUCUUAGUUGUCAAUGUUUUUUACUGGUUGAGUGGCAAACUAUGUACAUUCUAGGAAAUUCUUUUCUACCAAGGUCACUGCAUAAUUGUUUGGUGUUGGAAUAAAUGUCAAUGAAGAACAAAGUGAAAUUUAGUGGUGUUUAGUGAGGUUUGGAAUCUGUGCUAAUCUCCUCUUGUUCUUUAAUAUUGUGCUGGAGUUGAUUGUCCUUGUCAAGAUUGUUAUUUUAAUUUGCCUUUUGUUCUUCAGUAAGAGAGAAUGUUCUUCUGGAUUAUAUGUUCUUGUAGGUAAAAGGUGGCCAUGCUACUUUGGCUCAUCUUGCAGAUCAAUGGCUGUUGCAGUCAACCGAUGCUCUUAAAAAUCCUUUCUCUAAGGAUAUUUAUCAAAAACUGUUGAAAGAAGGUACGUACCAUGGCAAAGAAGUUAGUCGAUGUGCAGAGGUGGGCAGAAGGUGUAAGAAGUUGCCUCACAAAAAUUGAAAAUCAUUCUCUGGGCUCUACUAAUGCUUUGGAGAGGGCAGAUUUAGAAUAUGUCACUGAAUUGUUGAGUUUUGAUACCAUGCCGUGUAACGAGCCUGGACAUCUUAAAUUGAAGGAGUAUGCUGAAGAGGCAAAGAAGUUGGCCGGAGAGAUUGAAUCAACUCUUUCGUCAUCUUCAAAGUUAUUGGAGUUGGAAAACCUUUACGAUAGAAGCUGUCGCUUAGGAAUCCUUGUCAAAGGAAGCGAGAAACUGGCACAGAAAAUUUCUUCAAUGGAGGUAUUCUCUAUCAGGAUUGAUUUUGUGGGUCAAGAUACAUUAAGCCAUAUCCCUACAGUUACCUAAAUUGUCUCUUUUACGUG